rnacentral:lncRNA from 1 species
AUGCAUAUCAAGCAACAGGAUGCUACAACCUUCUCUGCUCAGGUUUCAUUCAAGUCAGCAGUGCAAUAGCUAUGGGAGCAAGCAUCUCCCCUGUUUCAGCCUAUAGAAACUCCCAAUACGAUAUCAGUAUUCUUAUCUGGAAGGUACAAUUCCACUUUCAAGUAUCUCUCCUGUUUAAGGCACAAUAUGAUAUCAGUAUUCUUAUCUGGAAGGUACAAUUCCACUUUCAAGUAUCUCUCCUGUUUAAGGCCAUUCUGCCUUUAUGUCAAAUUGUGGGGCACCAGCAGCCAGCAUCUCAUCAAGUGAAUAAGAAAAGUGAAUAUCAGGAAUUCAUUGUACACAUGAUUAUGUGGGAAAAUGUCCAACUACAACAAUCACCUAUUAAAAUUCAUAAUUGGGGUUUUGGAAGGGGUAGUGUAUAUGUAGAGGGGUAAAGAAACUAUUUUCGAAAUGCCCUUGGGUCAAGGAAAAUGUCUAACUAAGAUAGUUAAAGUUUACUGUUCUUGAAACAAGAAAUCUCUAUUAUUCCCUUUCAAAAAGAUUAAAUCUUUAUUAUUCCCUUUCAAAAAAAUUAAAUCUUUAUUAUCCAAAAACACACAACUCCCAUAUUGGUGCCUGAAAC